rnacentral:ncRNA from 2 species
GGCGCUCGCUGGGGGUGCCCUGCCGCAAGGCCGGGCUGAGAGAGUCCCUUUGAACCUGAUUGAGAUCAUCCUCGCGCAGGGAAGCUGUUCAUGCUGGUU